rnacentral:rRNA from 1 species
UACAGAGGGUGCAAGCGUUGUUCGGAAUUACUGGGCGUAAAGCGCGCGUAGGCGGCUUUGCAAGUCGAGUGUGAAAAUCCCCCAGGCUUAACCUGGGAACUGCAUUCGAGACUGCAUGAGCUAGAGUAUGGGAGAGGGAAGUGGAAUUUCAGUGUAGCGGUGAAAUGCGUAGAUAUCUGAAGAACAUCAGUGGCGAAAGCGACUUCCUGGACCAAUACUGACGCUCAUGUGCGAAAGCGUGGGGGAGCAAAUAGG